UGAUUAGAUACCCCACUAUGCCUAGCCCUAAAUCCUGAUGUUUAUCCUACCCAAACAUCCGCCCGAGAACUACGAGCACAAACGCUUAAAACUCUAAGGACUUGGCGGUGCCCCAAACCCACCUAGAGGAGCCUGUUCUAGUA
rnacentral:rRNA from 1 species